rnacentral:rRNA from 1 species
AGCCGGUUGAUCCUGCCAGUAGCACAUGCUUGUCUCAAGGAUUAGGCCAUGAACGUGCAAGUGCACACGGCUGGUAAAGUGAAACUACAAAUGGCUCUAUAAGUCUGUAAUAGUUCAAUUGACCGCUCCAUCUGUCAGUUGGAUAACGUUGUUAAUUCCAUUGAUAACACAUGUAGACAAGCGCUGACCACCCAGUGACAGCAAUGGUACAGUUGGAUGUCUGCCCUAUCAACUUUUAAAGUGACUAUCUGUACCUACCAUGGUGAACACAGGUAACGUUGAAUCAGAUUUCGAUUCCAAAGAGGGAGUCUUAGAAACAGCUACCACAUCAACAGAAGGCAGCACGUGUGUAAAUUACCCACUCCCGACUCGGGAAGGCUGUGACAAAAAAGAACAGUACAGUACUUCUUCAGGACCCUGUAAUUGGAAUGAGUACACUUUAAAUUCUCAAAUGAGGAUCCAUUGCGGGGCAAAUCUGGUGCCAGCAGCUGGUGUAAUUCCAGCUCCAAUAGUGGAUAUGAAAGUUUCUGCAGUUAAAAAGGUUGUAGUUGGAUCUUGGGAUCUAGCUGGCGCCUGACACGAGGUGAGAUACUGCCUGUCCUAGCUCUUCUCUCUCGGUGCCAUCUUGAUGCUCUUGUCUGAGUGUCCGAAGAACUUCAUUUGUAAAAAAUCAGACUUUUCAAAGCAGACCAGUCACUUGAAUACUUCAAUUAGGAAUAAUGGAAUAGGACUCUGCUUCCACUGUGUUUGUUCUCGGACCUGUGGAAAUGAUGAAGAGGGACAACUGAGGGCCUUCAUAUUGUGAUGCUAUAGUUGUAAUUCUUGGAAUGGCACAAGAAGAACCAAAGAGAAAGCAUUUUCCAACAAUGUUUUCAUCAAUCAAGAACAAAAGUUGGAAGUUCAAAGAUGAUUAAAUACAGUCAUAGGUCCGAAGAUAAACAAUGCUGACUAGCGAACCAGCUGUGUUAUUUUCAUAACCCGCCAAGCAACUUCCGGGAAAACAAAGUCUUUGGGUUCCGGGAGGAGUAUGUUUGCAAAGGUUAAACUCAAAGGAAUUGACAUAAGGGCACCACCAGGAGUGGAGCCUGUGGCUUAAAUUGACUCAACACAGGACACCUCACCUAGGCCGAACACGGAAAGGUUUGACAGAGUGAUAACUCUGUCUCCAUCCUGUGGGUGGUGGUGCAUGGACAUUCUUGGUUGGUGGAAUAAUUUGUUUGGUUAACGGGACAGGUGGUGUUCAGCCACCUGAGAUCGAGCAGUAACAGGAUUGCAAUGCCCUUAGAUGUCUGAGGAUCCACGUGUGCAACACUGAAUGGAUCACCACGUGUUUACCCUUCACCAAUAGGUACAGGUACCCUGCUGAACGCUGUACAUGAUAGGGUUUGAGGAUAGCAAUCUUUUCACAUGAACAAGGAAUUCCAGCAGGUUUGGGUCAUAAGCUUGCAUUGAUUAAGUCGCUGACCUUUGAACACACUGCCUGUCGCUACUACCAAUUGGAUGGUUCAGUGAGGUCCUGAGAUCAGGCCCUCUAGGGGCACAACAGCCCUGCUGGAGCACCAAGAAGAAGAUCAAACACAACUAUCUCAAGGGAGUGAAUGUUGUAACCAGAUUUCCAUAGCUGACCCUGUGGAAG